UGACAGUACUCUACGGGAGCAGCAGUGGGGAAUAUUGGACAAUGGGCGCAAGCCUGAUCCAGCCAUGCCGCGUGAGUGAUGAAGGCCUUAGGGUUGUAAAGCUCUUUUGUCCGGGACGAUAAUGACGGUACCGGAAGAAUAAGCCCCGGCUAACUUCGUGCCAGCAGCCGCGGUAAUACGAAGGGGGCUAGCGUUGCUCGGAAUCACUGGGCGUAAAGGGCGCGUAGGCGGCCAUUCAAGUCGGGGGUGAAAGCCUGUGGCUCAACCACAGAAUUGCCUUCGAUACUGUUUGGCUUGAGUUUGGUAGAGGUUGGUGGAACUGCGAGUGUAGAGGUGAAAUUCGUAGAUAUUCGCAAGAACACCAGUGGCGAAGGCGGCCAACUGGACCAAUACUGACGCUGAGGCGCGAAAGCGUGGGGAGCAAACAGGAUUAGAUACCCUGGUAG
rnacentral:rRNA from 1 species